CACUAGCGCUGCAACCAUUUCUUGUUUGGAAAAAGGGUCGAGGCACUCCCACCACCAAACCUAUUCUUCUUUCUCUUUCACUUCAACCCUUCCUAAAUCAGUGUUCUGGUCGUGGUUCUCUCUCGUCGAGCCCUCCUUCCCCUUUUGUGGAGCCUCGGUUCUCUUUCGUUGAGCUUUCGUAGGUCGCGCAUUGAAACCCUAAUUUUCCCUCAUUCGAACCAUGAUUGUGCGGCCUUGGUACCAUGGUUAAUUGGUUCUAUUUCUUCCCCGCAAAGCUAUUUUGCACGAAUUUCUUUUUUCUACAUUUAUUUUCUCUUGUUAAUCACCCAAGAUUUAAAGCUUUUGUUGCACUAAAAAACAGAUACUUUUCGUGCUUGCGUUUUGAUUUUCGCAAUGGCCUCCAAAGCUCCUAGAUCGAGGAUUGGUCACGAGAGUAGAGCCAAACUGCCAAAGGUAUGCAGUGGUGACAGGAGCAAAUAAAGGGAUUGGAUUAGAGAUAGUAAGGCAGUUAGCUUCAGAAGGAAUAAAGGUGGUACUCACUGCAACGAAUGAAGAGAGGGGUCUUCAAGCAUUGGAGACACUCAAAGCCUCUGGUCUUUCUCAUCUACUGUUGUUUCAUCAGCUAGAUGUGGCUCAUGCUGCAAGUGUAGCUGCUUUUGCAGCUUUUAUCAAAUCCAAAUUUGAUAAGAUACUGGACAAAAGCAAUGGAGAUGUGGCUAUAGAUACAUAUCACCGUUAUAAGGAAGAUGCUAAAUUUAUGAAGAAUAUGAACUUGGAUUCAUACAGAUUCUCGAUUUCUUGGUCCAGGAUUCUACCAAGUAAGUCAAAUGCUGAACAAUGUCAUCAACGAACUAUUGGCUAAUGGUAUAAAACCACUGGUAACUCUUUUCCAUUGGGAUCUUCACCAAACUUUAGAAGAUGAAUACGGUGGCUUCCUAAGUCCUCUCAUAAUGUUGGAAAAGCUAUAACAAAAGAUGAUAAAGCUCAAACAUAAUUGUUCUGGUUGUGAUUACAAGUUGCUAAAUUAGUAUUGAAGUCCAAAGUGUUAUUACUACAGAGAGAAAUGCUUGAGAGGGAGAAAAGUUGUCAGAACAGAACAGUCUAAACUACGAGAGAAAUUUCUUAGCAUCUAUGGGGAGAACUGUCAGAAUUUAGACAGGAAUGCUUUUGGUCCAGAUUCAGAUUUCCUCCGUCAGUUCCUCUAUUUCUUUAAUGCAGUGGCAAAAAUAGCAGUGGUGCUGCUAUCCAGGAGCUGGAUUUGUCCAGCAACUUUUUCAACGGGACACUUCCAAAUUCUUUGCUCGAGAACUUGGCAGCAGCUGCUGCAGUUGGAGGAAGUUUGGUGUCUUUGAAUGUUAGUAAUAACAGCUUCAUAGGUCAUAUUCAUACUAAAUUUGAUAGGAAGUGUUAUGUUCUAUUUAAUUUAUCCUUCACUAAUAAUUUAUUUCAAAAGUCAUAUAUAUGUUGAUUAAUAGUGUUGGUGAAUAUGAAUUAGGGAUAAGUUGUAUUAUAGUGUAUAUACUGUAAGGUCUGCUUGUAUAUUGUGCAUGGGAAACUGCUAUAAACAGGGUAUUUAUUUA